rnacentral:rRNA from 1 species
AACGAACGCUGGCGGCAGGCUUAACACAUGCAAGUCGAACGGUUGUAGCAAUACAGCAGUGGCAGACGGGUGAGUAACACGUGGGAACCUUCCUAGGGGUACGGAACAACUCAGGGAAACUUGAGCUAAUACCGUAUACGUCCGUGAGGAGAAAGAUUUAUCGCCCUUAGACGGGCCCGCGUCGGAUUAGCUAGUUGGUGGGGUAACGGCCUACCAAGGCGACGAUCCGUAGCUGAUCUUAGAGGAUGAUCAGCCACACUGGGACUGAGACACGGCCCAGACUCCUACGGGAGGCAGCAGUGGGGAAUCUUGGACAAUGGGCGCAAGCCUGAUCCAGCCAUGCCGCGUGAGUGAAGAAGGCCUCGGUGUAAGACUCUUUCUAGCCGGAAGAAAACGACACGGGUUAAGUAACCUAGUGUGGA